AAAGCUCUUAUUUCACAGUAAUCUAUAUUCUAUUUUCACAAAAUAAUAAAGGGUUAGAAAAUCGAGAAAAAGUACAGUUUGUAUGGUAAUUUUGGGACAUCCUGUAUACCUGAAGAGUAUUUAUUAGGUGUCUUUUGCAAAUUUAAGCCCACUGACAACUUUUUAGCUUCUUCCUAGCUUCCUGAAAAUAUUUGUGCUGUGUUUGUGGGUCUCUGCUCUACCUAUGCAAAAAUUCAGCAGUGCAAGAGUCAAUCUUCGUUUUCAAAAAUUUGACAGGUUUGGCAGCCGGAGUUAAAGUGGGCAUAUCAUAAUGUCAAAAUUUUAACGAACGUAAAUUAGAAAUCUGCCAAGACCCAUUCUCGGCCAUGAUGGCCUUGACUUCUCGGAAUACUUGUCAUUUCGAAUUGGCGUGUCCAACAUCUCACUUGGUGACAUUCCCUAUGCUGAGUUUGGUUGUUCCCGAAUUUUCUGUCAUUAUCAUUAUCCACAAAAGGAGAGGAAUGUGAAAUGCUGCGUACCACUCCAUUAGAAACACGAAAAAGAAAUACAAAUGAAAAACUGAAAGACGUUUCCAAAAAGAGUCUAGUGAUGCAACACGCAAACGAAAGCGAGCGACUAUUAGUAAUUAUUACGAUGGAACGGGAAUCAUCGCGGUCGCGAGCGAUGUUAGCUACAAUUGGACACAUUAUUAAUAACGAACACUUUGGAGAAGGCAGCACCGAAGCGCCUGGACGUUACCCGGCCAUUCAAACUAUAGUUUCUCGUCACUUUUCUUUUCUCAAACGGUCUUGGGAGUUUCAGAUAUAAAACAAAAACGGUCGUUCUCGGGGUUCAAAGAGUCAUGUUUGAUGGUGUUUGGAACCGCCUUUAACUGAACUGGAGAGAAUUCGCCUCUUCUAGCGGCAACAAGAAAUGUGAUAUUACCUCACAAUAUAACGCACCCAAAACUAUGAUGCAGAAUAUUAUGUGAAGCUCCAGUGAUUGUUCAUAGGGAAUUAAGGGAGUAUAGUAUUAUUUUCCGUUAAUAAAGACAGAGCUCCAAUAUAUUUGUAUAUUGA